GCUCGAGCUCGCCCAUGCCAUGCGUUACCUCUACUUCCGCCCCAACACGACAAGCCAGGCGCGCGCCUGCCGCGACCAUCUCCUCGCCCACCUGGACCAAUGCGCCUCGCGGGCCCACCUGGCGGUGCUCCACGGCCGGCUCAUCCGCGCUCACCUCGGCCCCGACCCCUCCGUAGCCGGUCGGCUCGUCGCCCUCCUCGCCUCACCUGUGGCGAGGCACGACAUGCCCUGCGCGCGCAGGGUGUUUGACAGAAUGGCCCAACCAACCGCCUUCGUCUGGAACUGCAUGAUUCGAGGGUACAACAGUUGCGACGCCCCCGCGGAUGCAUUGGCGUUGUUCAGGGCGAUGCUUCGGGCGGGAAUCUCUCCUGAUAAUUACACCAUGGCUGCGGUUGUGUCCUCGAGCGUUGCUUUCGCUGGCUGCAAGUUGAGGUCAACGGGCGACGCGGUGCAUUCCUUGGUUCGCAAGACUGGGUUUGCAUCGGAUGUGUUCGUCAUGUCAGGCCUUGUUAAUUUCUAUAGCUCCUUCAGAAGUGUCGAUGAUGCAAGGAAGGUUUUUGAAGAGAUGGCCGAUCGGGAUGUGGUGACGUGGACACUGAUGAUCUCGGCUUUUGCACGGUGCUGUCAGUGGGAUGAUGCGUUAAGGUUGCUUGCUGAGAUGCAAUCACAAGGCACUAAGCCCAACAAGGUCACCGUUAUAAGUCUCCUUUCUGCAUGCGGCCAAGUGCAGGAUGUUGACAGAGGCCGGUGGGUGUAUGCACGCAUUCAUGAGUACGGCAUUGAGGCUGGUUUGGAUGUCCGGAAUGCACUUUUAAGCAUGUACGUAAAAUGCGGAUGCAUGUCCGAUGCGUUGAAAGCAUUUCAGAUCAUGCCAAUAAGAAAUACUAAAUCAUGGAACACCUUGAUUGAUGGGUUUGUGCAAAAUGGGAAGGAUAUGGAAGCACUAAGAAUGUUUGAAGAGAUGUUAUCAGAUGGUAUAGUUCCUGAUGCGAUUACUCUCGUAAGUCUCUUAUCGUCGUGUGCUCAGCUAGGUGAUCUUCAGAAAGGGACAUACUUCCACAAUUAUAUCAAAGAUCAUGGGAUCCGCUGUGACAUCAUCCUUCAUAAUUCUUUGAUUAACAUGUACGCUAAAUGUGGCGAUAUGGCUGCAGCAGAAAUGGUUUUUGAAAAUAUGACACAAAGGGAUACCGUGUCCUGGACAGCUAUGCUUUGUGGUUAUGUGAAAGGACUUCAGUUUAGAACGGCCUUCAGUUUGUUUGAAGAGAUGAAGGUCGUAGAUGUUGUGUCAAGUGAAAUGGCACUGGUUAGUCUACUUUCUGCUUGUUCCCAGCUAGGAGCACUUGAUAAAGGGAGAGAAAUACACACUUAUAUAGAAGAGAAGAGUGUAACAACAGACGUAUGGCUUGAAAGUGCCCUGGUGGAUAUGUAUGCAAAAUGUGGUUGCACUGAUACAGCUGCCCAAAUAUUCAGUACAAUGCAGCACAAGCCAACCCUCACAUGGAAUGCUAUGAUUGGAGGUCUUGCCAGCAACGGACAGGGAAAAGAAGCAGUGGGGCACUUUGAACAAAUGCUGAAGUUAAGAGACCCAAACCCUGAUGCUAUCACUCUAAAGGUAGUUCUUGGUGCCUGUGCACAUGUGGGAAUGGUUGAUGAGGGGCUGCAUUACUUCUAUUUGAUGUUGAGCCUUGGUAUUGUCCCUGAUAUUGAGCACUAUGGUUGCGUAGUAGACCUCCUGAGUAGAGCUGGGCUGCUAGACGAAGCAUAUAGUUUUAUCAAAAAGAUGCCAAUACAGCCCAAUCCAGUAAUUUGGGGCUCACUUCUUGCAGCCUGUAGAAUUCAUCACAGGAUGGAACUAGCAAAGAUAAUUGGACAGCACAUCAUCGAAUUAGCUCCUAAUGACGUGGGAGCACAUGUCCUAAUUUCGAACUUACAUGCUGAAGAAGGCCAGUGGGAUGAUGUAGAGCAAGUAAGAGGGCUGAUGGGAAGCAGAGGUGUAGAGAAAUCUUCUGGUUGUAGCUCCAUCGAAGUCUAGACGUGCUCCGUAAAUCAUUGUUCGUACUUCACAAUUCACUGCAGUUUUCAAGGAUACACCCUCUAAAAGGUGUAUGAAGAUCAUAGAAGAAGAGGCCAAAGUCACUGCAGUUGUUCCAACUAAGACGAGGCUCACCAUGUAGAAGUAAAGUUCUAAUGCUGGUUGUCCAACUAGAGACGUUUUUCAUACUUCGUAAUGCAAGUUACAAGUUAUUAUUACAUGAUUUCACUAGCCAGCGCCGAAUGUGUAGAUCAGUAUGAAGUGCAAAACAAAAACAAAAAAUCAUUGUUCACAUACUGGCGGUCAAGGCAUCUGUGAAGUCGGACAAACUUGGUAUGCUGUAAUUUUUCAUACUUCAUAAUGCAAGUUACAAGUUAUUAUUACUCCCUCCAAUCCAAUAUUAAUUGUCGCUCAAACGGAUGUAUCUAGCACUAAAUAUGUCUAGAUACAUCCAUUUUAUUGACGAUUACUAUGGAUCGGAGAGACUACAUAAUUUCACUAGUAAGUAAUACAAAGUUUGACAGGAACACUGCCACUAUAUGUAUAUACGGAGUAGUAUAUACUCCACUGCCACUAUUUGAUUGUUCAGGCGAGCGCUGAAUCUGUAGAUCAGCAUGAAGUGCAAAACAAAACAAAACAAAAAAUCAUUGUUCACAUACUCGCAUUAAAAGGCAUAUGUGAAGUCAAGUAAACUUGUUAUGCUGUAAAUUUUCAGCUGUUACAGAACCUAGAGAAAUAGUAGUAGUUGAGAAAAAUAUUUCAACACAUCUGAAAGGUACUCAUUUGCUAUGUUUUAUGAGGCCGAGGCCGAGGCCGAGGGCUCGCCAGCUAUUAUACAUUUGUUGCUUUGAUUGUCUA